rnacentral:rRNA from 1 species
GACGAACCACCCAAACGUUAUUCGGAAUCACUGGGCUUAAAGAGUGCGUAGGCGGUCACGUAAGUAGGGUGUGAAAUCCCACAGCUCAACUGUGGAACUGCGCUCUAAACUACAUGACUAGAGGGAUAUAGAGGUGAGCAGAACUGAUGGUGGAGCGGUGAAAUGCGUUGAUAUCAUCAGGAAUACCGGAGGCGAAGGCGGCUCACUGGGUAUCUUCUGACGCUGAGGUACGAAAGCGUGGGGAGCAAACAGG